UACGGAGGAUGCGAGCGUUAUCCGGAUUUAUUGGGUUUAAAGGGUGCGUAGGCGGUCCGUUAAGUCAGCGGUAAAAUUGCGGGGCUCAACCCCGUCGAGCCGUUGAAACUGGCAGACUUGAGUUGGCGAGAAGUACGCGGAAUGCGCGGUGUAGCGGUGAAAUGCAUAGAUAUCGCGCAGAACUCCGAUUGCGAAGGCAGCGUACCGGCGCCACACUGACGCUGAGGCACGAAAGCGUGGGGAUCGAACAG
rnacentral:rRNA from 1 species